GACGGAAGGUGCAAGCGUUGCUCGGAAUCACUGGGCGUAAAGGGUGCGUAGGCGGCUUGGUAGGUCUGGUGUGAAAGCCCCGGGCUCAGCCCGGGAAGGGCACUAGAAACUGCCAAGCUAGAGUGCCGGAGGGGAGAGUGGAAUUCCUGGUGUAGCGGUGAAAUGCGUAGAGAUCAGGAGGAAUACCGGUGGCGAAGGCGGGUCUCUGGGCCUUACCUGACGCUGAGGAGCGAAAGCGUGGGGAGCGAACAGG
rnacentral:rRNA from 1 species